rnacentral:rRNA from 1 species
CCAGGAUUCCCCUAGUAACUGCGAGUGAAGCGGGAAAAGCUCAAAUUUAAAAUCUGGCAGUUUCAUAGCUGUCCGAGUUGUAAUCUAGAGAAGUGCUUUCCGCGUUGGACCGUGUACAAGUCUCUUGGAACAGAGCGUCAUAGAGGGUGAGAAUCCCGUCUUUGACACGGACUACCAAUGCUUUUGUGAUGUGCUCUCAAAGAGUCGAGUUGUUUGGGAAUGCAGCUCAAAAUGGGUGGUAAAUUCCAUCUAAAGCUAAAUAUUGGCGAGAGACCGAUAGCGAACAAGUACCGUGAGGGAAAGAUGAAAAGAACUUUGGAAAGAGAGUUAAACAGUACGUGAAAUUGUUGAAAGGGAAACGCUUGAAGUCAGUCCACGUUACUAGUAAAUCAACCUUCAAUAAAGGUGUAAUUUAUAGUUAACGGGUCAACAUCAAUUUUGAUUGUUGGAUAAAAGUUGAUAUUUAUGCAUCUUCGGAUGUAUAGCCUUUGAUUGUAUACAACAGUUGGGAUUGAGGAACUCAGCAUGCCGCAAGACCGGGUCUCUAAGACCACGUAACAUGCUUAGGAUGUUGGCAUAAUGGCUUU